AAGUCGUAACAAGGUUUCCGUAGGUGAACCUGCGGAAGGAUCAUUACUGAAGUACUUGCAAUAGUUGUUGCUGCCUUUCUAAGGAUGUGCACGCUAUUCAAUCUUCUACUUAACCACCUGUGCACCUUUCAUAAGCUGUGAAUUUAAACCCUCACAUUGAAAAAUGUGGAUUUGAGAGUUACCUUUUUGGUUGCUUUCAACUUAUUCACUAGCUUGUGUUUUUUUAUAUACACCAUUGAGACUUUUGAAUGUGUUUAUUUUAUAUAAUAAAAUACAACUUUCAGCAACGGAUCUCUUGGCUCUC
rnacentral:misc_RNA from 1 species